GAUGAACGCUAGCGGCAGGCUUAAUACAUGCAAGUCGUGGGGCAGCAUGAGUGUAGCAAUACAUUUGAUGGCGACCGGCAAACGGGUGCGGAACACGUACACAACCUUCCUAUAAGUGAGGAAUAGCCCAGAGAAAUUUGGAUUAAUACCCCGUAACAUAAUGAUGUGGCAUCACAUUAUUAUUAUAGCUUCGGCGCUUAUUGAUGGGUGUGCGGCUGAUUGGAUAGUUGGCGGGGUAACGGCCCACCAAGUCUACGAUCAGCAGCUGAUGUGAAAGCAUGAUCAGCCCCACGGGCACGGAGACACGGGCCCGACUCCUACGGGAGGCAGCAGUAAGGAAUAUUGGUAAAUGGACGCAAGUCUGAACCAGCCAUGCCGCGUGAAGGAUUAAGGUCCUCUGGAUUGUAAACUUCUUUUAUCUGGGACGAAAAAAGGCGAUUCUUCGUCACUUGACGGUACCAGAUGAAUAAGCACCGGCUAACUCCGUGCCAGCCGCCGCAGUAACAC
rnacentral:rRNA from 1 species